GACGUAGGGCGCGAGCGUUGUCCGGAUUUAUUGGGCGUAAAGAGCUCGUAGGCGGCUUGUCGCGUCGGCUGGGAAAACUCGGGGCUCAACCCCGAGCCUGCAGUCGAUACGGGCAGGCUGGAGUCCGGCAGGGGAGACUGGAAUUCCUGGUGUAGCGGUGAAAUGCGCAGAGAUCAGGAGGAACACCCGUAGCGAAGGCGGCACUCUGGGCCGGAACUGACGCUGAGGAGCGAAAGCGUGGGUAGCGAACAGG
rnacentral:rRNA from 1 species